UGGUUUCUACGUGAACUGCAGCACCUU
rnacentral:piRNA from 1 species